GCAUGGAUAUUAACUUCAAACAUUUAAAAUUGAAUAGAAGAUUAUUGCAUGUACAAGUUUCAUAUGUGCAAUUUAUUCUUUUUUUUAAUAGUCUUUUUGUAUAUGCUAACAAUUCUAAAAUGCAACAAGAUUAAAGAUCUCAAAAGAUAACUGUACAGGCCUAUUUUUCCGGCACGCUGGAAAAUAUAAAAAUAAGCUAAAAAGGGUCCAGUUCAUUUACAACAGGCCCGAAGGGCCCAAACCCAAAUCAACCAUGGCCUAAACUUAAAACAAUUUCAGUAAAAAACCUAACCCUAGCCCUUGCCUCGCGCCGCUGCUCCCAUGUGCGCCUUCAGCGCACACCACGCCCGAGGCCUGCCAUCGCCAGUCGGCCUUACACCAAAAUGGCAAGCCAUGCCUCUGCCUUCGCCAAAUACCUGCAAGCAACAUGAAAGAAGAAACAAACAGCAGCAAAUAUUUUUCUUUUAUAAAACCCAAACAAAUGUAAUAUCAAUGGGGGGGGCCUCAACUGUAAUGGUUUUUUUCUUUAUGUUUUCUUCUUUUCUUUCGGCAAAAGCCGAAUACGUUGUAAAAAAGGGGGCUUUUGACAAACAUUAAGAAAAUAAAAAGAAACAGAAACACGUUUCUAAAAGUUUUUUUUCAGAUUUACAUCAUUUUUUUCGUCUUUUAUUUUUUAUUUUUUUGUUUAUUUUAUACAUUAAAAUAAAAUCAAAAAGGAGGAAGGGAUACUCACCGGAGUCAUCCCGUGAUCGCGUCGUCGGAGGGUGACUCUCCGUCUUCGGCACCAGAUCUGAGGGGAACGAAGGUUUCCUCAUCCUUUUCUUAAGUUUAGAGAGUGUUUUUGGUAUUUUGGGGCUCGGAUCGGGGUUCAGGAGAUCAUUUUAGGCCGGAAAGGCCCAUUUUUGGAACUCCGACAACCGUGCACGGUGGCCGACGGACGGUGGCCCGAUGAUCAGAGGCGGCCGAACUUUGGCAGGCCUUGGGGGCCUGAGAGAGAGAAAGCUCUUUGUUUUUUAGAAAAAUGAUGAAAAUGAAAUUUUUGGGCCUUUUUUUUAUAUUUAUAUUAAUUAUAAAACGGCGCCGUUUUGGUGGGGGUGGAUCCGCGCGUCGACCCGACCCAUUACUAGGAGGAUCCGCGUGUUUUCCAUUUUGGGGGUAUUUACGCAGAUGGUCCUCCCCUUUUUGUAGCGCGUUCAAAUCAAUUUUUUUUAUUUCUAAUUUUCGCCCUUUAAUUUGAUGUCCGCUUCAUUUGGGUCCUCACCAUAACGCUGCGUUUUGGAGGGUGGGAAAUAUUACCCUUUUAGUCCCCCAUGUCAUUCGCGCUUUUUAAUUCGGGCCUUUCCUUUUAUUUAUUUUAGAUUAUUUCCUUUAAUUUCAGCUUUGGUGUCAAUUUGAUCCUCUGUUUCAUUAUUAUUACUAAUUUUGUUUAGUUUAUUAUCUUUACUAUUGUUAUCAUUAGUUUUAUUAUUUAUAUGUUUAUUUAUCUAUG
rnacentral:lncRNA from 1 species